GGGGGGGGGGGGGGGGGGGGGGGGGGGGGGGGGGGGGGGGGGGGGGGGGGGGGGGGGGGGGGGGGGGGGGGGGGGGGGGGGGGGGGGGGGGGGGGGGGGGGGGGGGGCCCUUCCCCUUCCCUAAACCCCCUUCCCCUUCCCUAAAUCCCAUUCCCAUUUCCUAAACCCCAUUCCCAUUCCCAUUCCCUAAAUCCCAUUCCCUAAAUCCCCUUCUCUGUCCCCUUUCCAUUCUCCUUCCCCAAACCCCCUUCCCUAAAUUCCAUUCCCUAAAUCCCAUUCCCACUCCCCUUCCUCUUCCCUUUCUCUGUCUCCUUCCCAUUCCCAUUCCCAUUCCCAUUCCCAUUCCCAUUCCCAUUCCCAUCCAUAAAUCCCAUUCCCAAUCCCAUUCCCCUAUUCUCAUUCCCAUUCCUUUUCCCUAAACCCCUCCCCCUUCCCAUUCCCAUUCUCAUUCCCAUUCCCCUUCCCUAAAUCCCCUUGUCCUUCCCCUUCCCAUUCCUAUUACCCUUCCCCAAAUCCCCUUCCCCAAAUCCCAUUCCCCCUCCCCUCCCCUUCCCAUUCCCAUUCCCCUUCCCAUUCCCAUUCCCCUUUUUCCCCAAACACCCUUUCCCUAAAUCCCCUCCGCUCCCAGCUGUCCCUCCCCGCAGCCCUGGAUCCCGUCCCAAAGCCCCCGCUCCGUCCCAGCUGGGCGUCCCCUCUGCAGACGGAGCCCCAGGCGCUGGCCCGGAGCUGCCGCUGGAACGCCGGGAUCCGCCCGGGCCCCGCCGGGGGGGGGGGGGGGGGGGGGGGGGGGGGGGGGGGGGGGGGGGGGGGGGGGGGGGGGGGGGGGGGGGGGGGCCCCGGGCGCUGGCCCGGAGCUGCCGCUGGAACGCCGGGAUCCGCCCGGGACCCGCCCGAGCCCCGAAACGGCGCCAGAGAGGGACCGGAGCUGUGCCCGGGGGGGACACCAGGGCGCCGUCACCUCCUCUGUUUGAGGCUCAGCCCUGGCCCAUUCCUUCAUCCAACCAAGGAUCUGACACGGAAUGAGGGAGGAUCCAGAGUAUCCUUCAUCCAAGCAGAACAGAAAUUUAUCCUCCUGGCACUGGGGAAACCACAGGAAAAUUCCUGCUGGGUUUGGGAUCUCAACCUGUUUUCCUUUAGCUGGUGCAACAUUCCCUUUUCCUUCUGGAUACAUCCAGAAUUUCUGGAAUUUUGACCACGGAGACUCUUCCUUAGAUCCUUGUUGGAGCUGCUGGACCUCAUGGGAGUUGCCUGUGGAUCAUCCUGGGGCACAUCCCAUGGAAAACCUGGAGACAGAAUUCCUUUCUCAUGUUAAAACAAUUCCAUCUUUUCUGUUGUGGUAGCAAGAAGGAAAUCAAAUCCCACGCUCUGGAUUUGCACGUGGAUCCACCAAGAGCUGGAAUUUGCCUUUUAAGAGAUUGGGAAUCCAAUUUUCUCUCUCUUAUUGGUCUUUUCUGCAAUUUGGGAAAUUCCCAGGAAAUGUAACAAAGAGCAGAUUUUGAGGAUAAGGGGUGACUUUAAUUCAUCCCACAGAGCUGGGACAAAACUGAACCUUUCCACAUUUUGGGAAAAAAUCACGGCAACCACACGAAUCCUCAGCAUUUAUGGACAAAAAUCACAUUUCAGAGGAAAUUCCAACCACCAAUCACAGAGUCACAGAAUGAUUAAGGAUAGAAAAGACCUUUUAAUCACCAAACCCACGGGUGCCACAUCCACAGGUUUUCUGGGCACUCCCAGAAAUGGUGAUUCCAUUCAGUGGAAAUGAAGAUUCCAUUCUUUCCAUGAAGAAACUGCUCCUAAUAUCCCAACCUAAUCCACCCCAUGUGCAAUUUGAGGCUGUUUCAAUCUUGGAUUAGGGGGAAAAUUCUGCUCUGUGAGCAGAUUAAUCCGUGUCACUUCAGAGUUUCAUGGAUUUUGGCAACACCAGGCACCAAAUCAUUGAUUUAACAACUCAGUGCAGCUCCCUCUCCCAGAUUUUGGGCUUUUUUCUGGUUUUCCUGGGUGCUUGGAAGGAUGAAUUCAUCCUAAGCAACCCAAACACCUAAAAAAUGAUGAAUCUGUGCUGCCACCUCCCAGAAAAGUCAGCCAGGAGCUUGCAGAUGGGAAUGAUCUCCUGUAUCUUCAGAUCAGUUAACUGUGCAGCAGAACAGAUGGAUGGAUUUUGAUUAAGAAAGUGAAAUUUUGAGAAUUCAGAGUGAGGUGGAGCAAACCAAAACAUUCACCAGCAUCAUUCCCUGGAAUUUCAGAUCUCUCCUCCCCAGACUGUUCUUUUUUUUUUUUUUUUUUUUUUUUAAAGGGGGGGGGGGGGGGGGGGGGGGGGGGGGGGGGGGGGGGGGGGGGGGGGGGGGGGGGGGGGGGGGGGGGGGGGGGGGGGGGGGGGGGGGGGGGGGGGGGGGGGGGGGGG
ensembl:lncRNA